ACCGAGGCCGGAUCGCUCGAGGAUGCGGCGCUGGAAGUCGAGGGCGGGGUCGCCGAACUCGCCGCAAAGGCGGGAAUGUUCCAUAAACUGGGAUGGGCGGACACGGAGGCGGUCAGGGGGGCGGUAGCAAGCGUAGUCGACGAGGUAGAUGGGGCGGGGGCGGGUGAUGGCGUAGAGAGUUGUGGCGAAGACGAGGACGGCGGAGCAAACGAGGACGCUGACGAGGUUGUACUGAAGGUGGAGCCAGAGCUGGCGGAGGUCGUUGGGGUCGGUGCGGCCGGCGUCGACGAGGAUGACGAGGAUGAGAGGGAUUAGAAGGAGAGUCACUAGAUGUGUUAUCAGAUAAUGAUAGCCGAGUUUUACGUACUUGAGAUUGACACUCUGGAGGAAGUCCGGGAGGCGGCGGCUGGGCUGGACACCGUUCAUCUCCGCCAUCAGCGGUGUCUGUGAGGCGUCGCCGCCGCCGGACAUGAUGGAGUGUAUCUCUAGUAAAGGAGUAAAGCAGAGACGGGAUCGGGAGGAGAGGGAUUGAAAGGAAAGCCGAUAUAGGGCCGCCCA
rnacentral:misc_RNA from 1 species